UUUCUCUCCCAGUGCUCAAAGGCUCCUGACUGUGGAGAGCUAAAGCUGCCAGGAGCUGCCUGCGCUUGCCAAGUGGUUGCAGAUGUUUCCUCCCUACUGCUCUGACUUUGCCAGGGUUUGUUGGUGUCUUGGGGUAAGAGGCUCUUCAGGCUGAAAGGUGAGCGGAGGCUGUCACAAGCUGGGGAGAUCUGGGUCACCCAAAGCAAACAUGAGCCCUUACUCAGAUCUCACAGCAAAGACCACCCCUGGAUCUGUCCAUGCAGAGGCCCAGGUCUCUGGUGAGAAAGGCAGAGGGGAGGAUCAAGCAUGGAAACUGGAGGGGGAAAGAACAGAACUCACAGGGGUAGACCAUUGACUCUAAGACACCUGCGCUUGGGCCUUAAUGUACAGCUCAGUUAAUCUUCACCUUUGCCCUGAGAGGUUGAAUUAUUAUCCCCAUUUUACAGGGGAGAAAACAAGCUAGGAGAGGAGGAAUGACUUGCUCAUGGUUGUGCAGCUAGUAGAAAAUUCUACCCUCUUGUGGUGGCACCAUUGUUUC
rnacentral:antisense_RNA from 1 species